rnacentral:rRNA from 1 species
CAAGUCGAGGGGCAGCGCAGUGUAGCAAUACAUGGGCGGCGACCGGCAAACGGGUGCGGAACACGUACGCAACUUUCCUCUAAGCGGGGCAUAGCUCGGAGAAAUCCGGAUUAAUACCCCAUAACAUUGUAGAUAGGCAUCUAUCAGCAAUUAAAGAUUUAUCACUUAGAGAUGGGCGUGCGGCUGAUUAGGUAGUUGGCGGGGUAACGGCCCACCAAGCCUGCGAUCAGUAACUGGUGUGAGAGCACGACCAGUCACACGGGCACUGAGACACGGGCCCGACUCCUACGGGAGGCAGCAGUAAGGAAUAUUGGUCAAUGGACGAAAGUCUGAACCAGCCAUGCCGCGUGGAGGAUGAAGGUCCUCUGGAUUGUAAACUUCUUUUAUCUGGGACGAAAAAGGGUCUUUCUAGAUCAACUGACGGUACCAGAUGAAUAAGCACCGGCUAACUCCGUGCCAGCAGCCGCGGUAAUACGGAGGGUGCAAGCGUUAUCCGGAUUCACUGGGUUUAAAGGGUGCGUAGGUGGGCAGGUAAGUCAGUGGUGAAAUCUCUGGGCUUAACCCGGAAACUGCCAUUGAUACUAUUUGUCUUGAAUACCGUGGAGGUCAGCGGAAUAUGUCAUGUAGCGGUGAAAUGCUUAGAUAUGACAUAGAACACCAAUUGCGAAGGCAGCUGGCUACACGAAUAUUGACACUGAUGCACGAAAGCGUGGGGAUCAAACAGGAUUAGAUACCCUGGUAGUCCACGCCCUAAACGAUGGAUACUCGACAUACGCGAUAUACUGUGUGUGUCUGAGCGAAAGCAUUAAGUAUCCCACCUGGGGAAGUACGAUCGCAAGAUUGAAACUCAAAGGAAUUUGGCGGGGGGUCCGCACAAGCGGUGGA